UUGCACUUGUAUCACUGGCCUCUCUAUUUCUGAUGGACUGGCCUGAGCUAGGUGCAUAAAGAAAAGCUGCUUCAUCAGCAGCAGUCAUACAACUGCUGAGCUGGAUCUACAGGUGAAUGGUUUAAUGUGCUAUUUGCCUACUGAUUCCAUUUCACACUU